GACGAACCGUGCGAACGUUAUUCGGAAUUACUGGGCUUAAAGCGCGUGUAGGCGGGCCGGCACGUCGGUCGCUGAAAUCCCCCGGCUCAACCGGGGAACGGGCGCCGAUACGACCGGCCUGGAGGGACGUAGGGGGACCUGGAACUUCCGGUGGAGCGGUGAAAUGCGUUGAUAUCAUCAGGAACACCGGUGGCGAAAGCGGCUUACUGGGUCUCUUCUGACGCUGAGGUACGAAAGCUAGGGUAGCGAACGGG
rnacentral:rRNA from 1 species